GGAGAGAUGUCCGAGUCCGGCUGAAGGAGCACGCCUGGAAAGUGUGUGUACACCUCGUGUACCGAGGGUUCGAAUCCCUCUCUCUCCG
rnacentral:tRNA from 1 species